rnacentral:rRNA from 2 species
CACCAGCAGCGUAAGGGAGGGACAAUAGACAAAUAGGCAGAGAGAGUCCGUGCAUAUCAGAAACCCAAGAGUCUACUCUGUCUCCCCACGCCCAACUGGAGGAAGGUGGGGAUGACGUCAAAUCAUCAUGCCCCUUAUGACCUGGGCUACACACGUGCUACAAUGGACGGUACAACGAGUUGCGAAGUCGUGAGGCUAAGCUAAUCUCUUAAAGCCGUUCUCAGUUCGGAUUGUAGGCUGCAACUCGCCUACAUGAAGUUGGAAUCGCUAGUAAUCGCGGAUCAGCAUGCCGCGGUGAAUACGUUCCCGGGCCUUGUACACACCGCCCGUCACACCAUGAGAGUUUGUAACACCCAUGGCCGGUGAGAUAACCUUCGGGAGUCAGCCGUCUAAGGUGGGACAGAUGACUAGGGGAAGUAGAAUACCGGACCCCGGGGG